AACGAACGCUGGCGGCAUGCCUAACACAUGCAAGUCGAACGAGACCUUCGGGUCUAGUGGCGCGCGGGUGCGUAACGCGUGGGAACCUGCCCUUAGGUUCGGAAUAACUCCCCGAAAGGGGUGCUAAUACCGGAUAAUGUCUUCGGACCAAAGAUUUAUCGCCCUUGGAUGGGCCCGCGUUGGAUUAGCUAGUUGGUAGGGUAAAAGCCUACCAAGGCGACGAUCCAUAGCUGGUCUGAGAGGAUGAUCAGCCACACUGGGAAUGAGACACGGCCCAGACUCCUACGGGAGGCAGCAGUGGGGAAUGUUGGACAAUGGGCGAAAGCCUGAUCCAGCAAUGCCGCGUGAGUGAUGAAGGCCUUAGGGUUGUAAAGCUCUUUUACCCGGGAUGAUAAUGACAGUACCGGGAGAAUAAGCUCCGGCUAACUACGUG
rnacentral:rRNA from 1 species